CUCAAGUUUAGUGUACAACCGUUAACUCAGUUUAUAUUUUCUCUUUCAUGCUCUGAUAUUGCUUCAUAUUUGUACACUGGAUUACUCUCUGCGUUCUCUUUCUUACCAAACCACACAGGCUGGAUGUUUCAAUUUGGCUUUGCAGGUUGGGAAUAUAGAUGAAAGAGAGUCUGGUGAAUCUUUGGCACCUAAUGUCCAAAAGUUACUUAUUUCCAGUAAUGAUAGACCACUUGUUAGAAUGAAAGCUGCACAAUGCCUUCUAAGGUGGUACAGGAAGAAUCCUGGUCUUGUCAAUAUAGAUGGGUGGAACUAGUGAUUGAAUGCGCCUUGAGGAAUCUAAAGAAGAAAAGGAAAACAGUUGCACCUGGGUGUGUUAAUUUUAGUGCACCACCAAAU